AUGCCCGGCUCCACCGUGAUGCUGAUCGGCGCCUUCAUGGCCACGCUUCUUGGAGUCUCCCUCUCCGCCGUUGUCCUCUGCUCCAACCGGCGCCAGGCGCACCGCGCGUCGCCGUCGCCGUCGCCGUCACAGCGCAGCGUCGUCGACCUCGAGCUCGGCCUGGGGCGGCCGCCGUGCGGGAUCAACAAGGCCGUCUUGGCCGCGUACCCGACCACGGUGUACUCGUCGGCUGGGAGCCCACGGGGCCAAGGCCAUAGCCAGAUGGCUGCUGCCGCGCCAUCGGCCGAUGGUGACCAACCGUCCCACGAGACGAACACGAACACGACGUGUGCGGUGUGCCUGGCGGAGUUCGCAGAUGGCGACGAGCUCCGGUGGCUGCCCAGGUGCCGGCACGCGUUCCAUCGGCCAUGUGUCGACGAAUGGCUGCGGCGGCAACCGAGCUGCCCGCUCUACCGCACGUCGCCGCCUGCGGCUAUCGACUCCUGA
rnacentral:rRNA from 1 species